CGGAGGAUCCAAGCGUUAUCCGGAUUUAUUGGGUUUUAAAGGGUGCGUAGGCGGCCCGUUAAGUCAGGGGGUGAAAGACGGUAGCUCAACUAUCGCAGUGCCUUUGAUACUGACGGGCUUGAAUGAACUAGAGGUAGGCGGAAUGAGACAAGUAGCGGUGAAAUGCAUAGAUAUGUCUCAGAACACCGAUUGCGAAGGCAGCUUACUAUGGUUUAAUUGACGCUGAGGCACGAAAGCGUGGGGAUCAAACAGGAUU
rnacentral:rRNA from 1 species